UACGGAAUGUGCAAACGUUAUUCGGAAUCACUGGGCUUAAAGAGUCCGUAGGCGGCAUGUUAGGUGAGGUGUGAAAUCCCCCGGCUCAACCGAGGAAUUGCGCUUCAAACCGGCGUGCUUGAGGAAGAUAGAGGUGGGCGGAACUAAUGGUGGAGCGGUGAAAUGCGUUGAUAUCGGGAGGAACACCCGUAGCGAAGGCGGCGCUCUGGGCCGGUACUGACGCUGAGGAGCGAAAGCGUGGGGAGCAAACAGG
rnacentral:rRNA from 1 species